rnacentral:rRNA from 1 species
CCUACGGGAGGCUGCAGUGGGGGAUAUUGCACAAUGGGGGGAACCCUGAUGCAGCGACGCCGCGUGGGUGAAGAAGCGCCUCGGCGCGUAAAGCCCUGUCAGCAGGGAAGAAAAUGACGGUACCUGAAGAAGAAGCACCGGCUAACUACGUGCCAGCAGCCGCGGUAAUACGUAGGGGGCAAGCGUUAUCCGGAAUUACUGGGUGUAAAGGGGGCGCAGCCGGCGAUGCAAGCCAGGAGUGAAAGCCCGGGGCCCAACCCCGGGACUGCGCUUGGAACUGCGUGGCUAGAGUGCAGGAGGGGCAGGCGGAAUUCCUGGUGUAGCGGUGAAAUGCGUAGAUAUCAGGAGGAACACCGGUGGCGAAGGCGGCCUGCUGGACUGCAACUGACGUUGAGGCCCGAAAGCGUGGGGAGCAAACAGGAUUAGAUACCCUAGUAGUC